rnacentral:lncRNA from 1 species
UUAUAACACCCAUGAACGCAUAUAACCAUAACAUGAUGGGGUUAACAUAGGAAUGAGAUGGUCCCAAUCAUGAGACAUAGCCAAUUAUGAAUUGGAUGCAACCAACCUCAUAAAUUAUCAAAUAAAAUCAAUCAUCUUACGUACAAGCCUCGCCUCAUAAAAGUAAAAGAAUCUAAGUGAAUGUAUAACCAGGACCAGCCCUGGCCCAUCCAAUCAGGCAAGAGAACAAGAGAUGGACCACCACAAACAUAAAGAAGAUCAAAGAGAAUAAGGACAAAAAGAAAAAGAAAUACAUAGAAGACAGAGAGAUUAUUUCUAUAUCAUGGCUUCGGAUCUAAGCAAACAUGGCGAUGCCCAGCAAAAGAGCCCAUCCCGUGAUCAGCAUCUGCUUCAAUGUCCCAGCUCCGUUCUGCAUUAAAAAAAAAAAACACACAAAAAUAAUCAUAUUAAUCAGUAAUCAUGUGAUUAACUUUAACUAAAUGUGUACUUAAAUAGAUAUAAAGACGAGCCCACAGAGAAGGACAGGGAACAGCUGGUGAUGGUAACCCUGCUGUUGUUGUCUCUACCUUGGCUUGUAGGCACCCGUGUUUCUGAUAUUGCCACCCGACCUUUUCCGUAGCCCACGCUCGAUUUCCAACUAUAUGGGUAAAUAAUCCUGGGCAUGUUACUAGGAUGACAACAGCGGGACGCUACGUGGCUUAAUGAACCACAGCCGCGUGUCCAAAGGUACCGGUAAAAAUUGAUGCCGCGAAUCUCGAGGUCUUCUGCUUAUAUCGAACGGGAAAGAUUGCUUUAUGUGACAUGGAGGGGAUAGGUUCGGGGACGAAUGUGAUGGAUGUCCGCGUAAAUAUUUUAAUGCGGACGUCGGAUCUGCCGUUAAUGGUGGCUCUGAGAGCCAUCUUACCGCUCGAGUAUGGCAGGGGACGGAGGUUGGCGUUUUCGCAUAGAAAUUUCGGUACGUUAGCAUGUUAUAUUUUGUUCUAAGCGGAUCCUAACGGCUAAAUUUUCUCGCGGGAGAUCGACGCGGGAAUCCGGCGCACAUCAGGUGACCUCCGGAGAUCGCUAAAAUGCGCCAGAAGAAGCGGCCCUUCCGAAUCCAACGGCUAAUGGCGCAAGUUAGCGCCGUGAAGCGGUGGUGGGGAGGGGUGGGGAGAGAGAGAGAGAGAGAGAGAGAGAGGA